rnacentral:lncRNA from 1 species
AUUAAUUGCCUUACCUGCCGCACUGAGAGCAUACACACAUGCUCUGAUAGCACUUCUUAGAUGGGAAUUCUGAGGGUCAAAGCAUGCCAUCCUGGGGUUGGCCCAUGGCAGCACCAGCCAUGAAGAGCAGCCAGCCUGGCAGGUGUGGAGAGGCCCCAGAGAACCACAGAAGCAGCCGCAGAAGUGAUGAGUGAGCAAUCUCCA